rnacentral:lncRNA from 1 species
CUGAAUGAAACUUUUACAGCCUCUUUUGACAAAUAUCAAAAAUAUUUUGGUCAAAUUUCGAGGGUUUUCUUAUCCUAGAAGUGAAAACAGUCAGUCUAGAAUCUUUUUUUGUAAGUUUGGCCGUGAGUUUUUCUACCGAUUGCCAAGCCUUUUGUAUAAGUGUUGUUCCAAUGAAAACAAGUGUUUUAAAAUAACUUUGAUAGUUUUAAUUGCAAGUGAGACAUUUAUGUUUAACAAAGUCUUAUUUCUUUUUUAGGUUGUGUCUUUGUGGCAGAGAUAAAGUGGUGUAUAUAAGAUCAUAGAUGGGUCCACGUGGUUUCAGAUUUCUACUGUAGGGUAAAAAAGAGAUUCCAAAGAGGAACGAGAUAUGCAUCAAAGAGAUGAGCAAGAUGCUUAAUUUGCAAUUUUCAUCAUGGUAUGCCUAUAAUAGUUACUCGUCGGCAGCAGCAACAAGGGACGGAAGUGUAAACGUAGCAUUAGUAAGGUUGUGUUCAAGUGACAAAAAAGUUCAAGAUCAAAGAAACAGAUCACGGGUGGAUGUGUUUUUCAAAUAUGGAA